GUGGAUUAGAUACCCUGGUAGUCCACGCCCUAAACGAUGUCAGCUAGUUGUCGGGAGGGUAACCCUCUUGGUAACGCAGCUAACGCGUGAAGUUGACCGCCUGGGGAGUACGGUCGCAAGAUUAAAACUCAAAGGAAUUGACGGGGGCCCGCACAAGCGGUGGAUUAUGUGGAUUAAUUCGAUGCAACGCGAAAAACCUUACCUACCCUUGACAUGUACGGAACUUGCCAGAGAUGGCUUGGUGCUCGAAAGAGAACCGUAACACAGGUGCUGCACGGCCGUCGUCAGCU
rnacentral:rRNA from 1 species